rnacentral:rRNA from 1 species
GUGGAUUAGAUACCCGGGUAGUCCACGCCUUAAACGAUGGAUGCUAGCCGUCAGCAAGCAUGCUUGUUGGUGGCGCAGCUAACGCAUUAAGCAUCCCGCCUGGGGAGUACGGCCGCAAGGUUAAAACUCAAAGGAAUUGACGGGGGCCCGCACAAGCGGUGGAGCAUGUGGUUUAAUUCGACGCAACGCGAAGAACCUUACCAGCCCUUGACAUUCUCCGGGCGGUUUCCAGAGAUGGAUUCCUCCUAGCAAUAGGUCGGAGAACAGGUGCUGCACGGCCGUCGUCAACU